GGGGCGGUGGCGGCCCGGGCGGUGGCGGCGGCGGCGGCGGCUCGGGGCGCGAGGCGGCGGCGGCCACGCUCCGGCCGGGUCCCCGCUGCUCCAGGCGGCGCCAUGGACGAGGCCGUGGGCGACCUGAAGCAGGCGCUGCCCUGCGUGGCCGAGGCGCCGACCGUCCACGUGGAGGUGCACCAGCGGAGCGGCAGCACUGCCAAAAAAGAAGAUAUAAAGCUGAGCGUUAGAAAGCUGCUCAACAGACAUAACAUUGUGUUUGGUGACUACACGUGGACCGAGUUUGAUGAUCCUUUUCUGAGCAGAAACGUGCAGUCUGUGUCUAUUGUUGACACAGAGUUGAAGGUUAAAGACCCACAGCCCAUCGACUUGGGUGCCUGCACAAUUUCACUUCACGUCUUCCAGCUGAAUGAGGGCGGCCCCAGCAGUGAGACUCUGGAGGAGGAGACCGAGAACAUAACUGCGGCGAGUCACUGGGUCCUGCCUGCAGCUGAAUUCCAUGGGCUUUGGGACAGCCUGGUAUAUGAUGUGGAAGUCAAAUCUCAUCUCCUCGAUUACGUGAUGACAACCUUGCUGUUUUCAGACAAGAACGUCGACAGCAAUCUCAUCGCCUGGAACCGGGUGGUGCUGCUUCACGGUCCUCCGGGAACUGGAAAAACAUCCCUGUGUAAGGCACUAGCCCAGAAAUUGACCAUCAGACUUUCGAGCAGGUACCGGUAUGGCCAAUUAAUUGAAAUAAACAGCCACAGCCUCUUCUCUAAGUGGUUUUCGGAAAGUGGCAAGCUGGUAACGAAGAUGUUCCAGAAGAUUCAGGAAUUGAUUGAUGACAGAGAUGCGCUGGUGUUCGUGCUGAUUGAUGAGGUGGAGAGCCUCACGGCCGCCCGCAACGCUUGCAGAGCAGGUACCGAGCCGUCAGAUGCCAUCCGUGUGGUCAACGCUGUCUUAACCCAGAUCGAUCAGAUUAAGAGGCACUGCAACGUGGUGAUCCUGACCACUUCCAACAUCACGGAGAGGAUCGACGUGGCCUUCGUGGACAGGGCUGACAUCAGGCAGUACAUCGGACCGCCCUCUGCAGCAGCCAUCUUCAAAAUCUACCUCUCCUGUCUGGAAGAACUGAUGAAGUUUCCUCUGCUGGGAAACCGGUGGCUGCACAUUUAUCUACUGUGACAAGUAAGUAUGGCACCCGCCACUUCAACCUCAGCGGGUGACGAGCUGUCGGUUGUGUGUGGGUAACGACCCUGUCUCGUCACCGUGAGAAAUUGGAGUUGACGCCUGGUUUGCUCGGCACAAGCCCGUUAGUCGCCUAGAACCUUAGGCAGUCAGUGCUCCCAGACCCUCAGGGACAGACCAGGGGUCCUGGGAUCUGUGCACAUUCCGACGGUCCGGCCUAGUCUGACCCCCGUCUCACCCCCACCAGCCCGUCUGGCCCCCAUCUGGCUCCUGUCUGACCCCUGUCCCCAUCUGACCCCCACCUGGCCCCCACUUGAUCCCUCAGCCCCCGUCUCACCCCCACUAGCCCCCGGAUGGCCCCUAUCUGACCCCUGUCUGGUCUCCGUCUGACCCCCAUCUGACCCAUGUCUGACCCCUGUAUGGCCCCGUCUGGCCCCCCUCUGGCUGGUGCGGCAAGUCUCUGUUCCUGUGGCUCAGCCCAAAUGCAUCAUCCGAACGAGGGGACAGUGGCCUCGAGGAUGGUCACAAUGGGAUAUUUCAGAAAGAACACCAUACCAUGCCUGGGCUCCUUGCCGACCAUGUCCUCUCUGUGUCCUUUUAUUCCCCACACAAACCCCACUCACAUACCUCCGUGUCAUCUCCUGCUAGUGAGUGACAGACACGGAGUGACCCAGCGAGGGUCUCAGGCCAGUGGGGGCCACAGCCCACGGAGCAGGGCCUCUUUGCCCAUGCCAGCCACCCUCUGGCCGCGACCCUCGAAACCUCCGGUUCCCAGCCAGCGUUUCCAGUGUCCCUUGCGCUGAGGAGUUUUGAGCGACAACGGAAGGAGCGGCACCCUCUCCUGUCCCCUCUCCUGGCAGACGUGUCUAAAACCGCCCCCGGAGGAGGUGUGCAGCCCUACUCCGUGUCCAAGUCCAGUGUCUGCUCCGCCUUCCACUUCCACACGUGUCCCUGUGUCUUUCCUCCCUUCGUCUCUGUGCCGUCCCCUGCCUCGAGUGCAUUUCCGUGGGCUGGUCUGCAAGUUCUUUGUCCUUCCUGUUGCCCUGACUCUUCCUGCCGACUCUGAACUUGUCACCACCUGCGCCCCCUCCCACCACGCGCUCUCAGACAGGGGCUCUGUGACCCCGAACGUGGGGCUCAGAGACAUGGCCGCCUGAGCACCCCUCCUGGUCAUGUGGACCUCCUCGCUGGUCUGUGCCCUCAGACUUUAGGAUGGUGGCCGCAGGCGGGGACGGUCUCGUCAUUCUAUAAUUCUGGAAACUCUGAGCUUGUUUUCCAUUUGCUGGUCUGCUCUGUCCCAUGGCCCCAGGUGUGGGCGCCGACUCGCCCCCACACACCCCCAUGGCUGUGAGUGCUCCCCUGGGCCCCCGUCCCUCCCAGGCGCCGCCUCCACGGCCUCCAGGUGCCCCUGGCCCGCGUCGCACUCUGUAUUCCAGCCACCGUGUGUUUUGUUUUCUCCCGAUGUGUCCCACUCGUUCUCCGUAGCCACUCUCCCUCGUCUCGGAGCUUGGUUACUGUCCUCAUCACGCUCUUAAUCGUCAGCUUGGAAGCUCCCCUCGGACAAGUGCUCCAGCGGCCGCUUGGGGGUGACGCCUCCUGGAGUCCAGACACUUUUGCCUUUUGUUCGAAGUCUCCGUUUGUUCAGGUUCAUUUGCCUGCUUAGGGUUUUCUCUGCUGCUCGUGUGAGGUCAUGACGCCUCCAUCUAUCCAUCACCAAGAUGCCCCUCAGGGAUUUGAGGCCAGAAAGUGGUGGGGGGCAGGGGAGGGAGGACAGCACGGCUGGUGGCUGAGGCAGGGGUCAUCUGAGGACGUGGGCCACGUAGCCUCAUCAGCCUGCAGGGAAGUGGGGUGGGCCCGGUCCCGCCCGAGCGCCCCAGGCCACCGGCAAGACCGCUCGCCUGCAAGGCUGCAUCGGGGCCCAGACGUUAAGCAUUAAGCCACUUGGCCCCAGGCCUGCUUCCAUAUGGGGCUGUCAGGGCGGGUGUGACUGUGUCUGGCGGCCCGUGAUUCAGUGACUCAUCGCAGGGAGAGACCGGGCAGACCGACUCGGAGCUUUAAGUCAAGUGCAACCACAGGGAGCGCCUCCAGUGGCACUCCAGCGCUCUCCUGUGCAGUGGGCUCCUCUGGUCGUGGUUUCCCGACCCCGUUGUCCUCAAGGAGGGCUCUGGGACGUGUGCGAGGUCCCUCCGGGAAGGCCUGGAGCCACGGGCUCGGGAGAGUCUCGUCUGGUGGUGGCGUUUCCCAGAUGGCGGUGUGUCUUGUGGCUCACGUUGAAAGCCGGACACUUGUGCGGGGUAAGUGGCACCGAGCGAGGAAGGCCUUUCUGAUGGGCUUUGUGUUCUUUUGGCCAGAGACAGGCUGCGCUUGCCGCUGGCCUCGGCACCAGGGCUCAGAGGCCGUGUCGUCUCCCCUUCUGGCUCUGGGCGUCCCUGUGUCUGCAGGCGGCCACACGUGAGGGAUGGAGCGUCUGGGACCUUUCCUCCAGGGCACAGCGUCCCACACUCAGCCCAGGCCUGCCCUGAUGGGGACCAGUCACCGUGGGGACCGAGCCCUCCUCUCAGGUGGAGGUGUUUGCAUCCUCACCAGGAGAACCUGGUGUGGUUCCUGGAGGCAAAACCGUGAAGAUGUGGAGUCUUCCUUGCUCA